rnacentral:rRNA from 1 species
GACGAACGCUGGCGGCGUGCUUAACACAUGCAAGUCGAACGGAAAGGCCCUGCUUUUGUGGGUUGCUCGAUUGGCGAACGGGUGAGUAACACGUGAGUAACCUGCCCUUGACUUUGGGAUAACUUCAGGAAACUGGGGCUAAUACCGGAUAGGAUCUCCUGCUCCAUGUUGGGGGUUGGAAAGUUUCGGCGGUUGUGGAUGGACUCGCGGCUUAUCAGCUUGUUUGUGGGGUAGUGGCUUACCAAGGGUUUGACGGGUAGCCGGCCUGUGAGGGUGAACGGCCACAUGGGGACUGAGAGAGGGCGCAGAAUCGUACGGGAGGCAGCAGGGGGGAGUAUUGCAGAAUGGGGGGAAGCGUGAUGCAGAAACGCCGGGAGCGGGAUGACGGCCUUCGGGUUGUAAACCGAUUUCGCCUGUGACGAAGAGUGAGUGACGGUAAUGGGUAAAGAAGCACCGGCUAACUACGUG